UACGUAGGGCGCAAGCGUUAUCCGGAAUUAUUGGGCGUAAAGAGCUAGUAGGCGGUUUGUCGCGUCUGCCGUGAAAGUCCGGGGCUCAACUCCGGAUCUGCGGUGGGUACGGGCAGACUAGAGUGAUGUAGGGGAGACUGGAAUUCCUGGUGUAGCGGUGAAAUGCGCAGAUAUCAGGAGGAACACCGAUGGCGAAGGCAGGUCUCUGGGCAUUAACUGACGCUGAGGAGCGAAAGCAUGGGGAGCGAACAGG
rnacentral:rRNA from 1 species